UAGAGUUUGAUCCUGGCUCAGAUUGAACGCUGGCGGCAUGCCUUACACAUGCAAGUCGAACGGCAGCACGGGCUUCGGCCUGGUGGCGAGUGGCGAACGGGUGAGUAAUACAUCGGAACGUGCCCUGUAGUGGGGGAUAACUAGUCGAAAGAUUAGCUAAUACCGCAUACGACCUGAGGGUGAAAGCGGGGGACCGCAAGGCCUCGCGCUACAGGAGCGGCCGAUGUCUGAUUAGCUAGUUGGUGGGGUAAAAGCCUACCAAGGCGACGAUCAGUAGCUGGUCUGAGAGGACGAUCAGCCACACUGGGACUGAGACACGGCCCAGACUCCUACGGGAGGCAGCAGUGGGGAAUUUUGGACAAUGGGGGCAACCCUGAUCCAGCAAUGCCGCGUGUGUGAAGAAGGCCUUCGGGUUGUAAAGCACUUUUGUCCGGAAAGAAAUGGCUCUGGUUAAUACCCGGGGUCGAUGACGGUACCGGAAGAAUAAGCACCGGCUAACUACGUGCCAGCAGCCGCGGUAAUACGUAGGGUGCGAGCGUUAAUCGGAAUUACUGGGCGUAAAGCGUGCGCAGGCGGUUUUGUAAGACAGGCGUGAAAUCCCCGAGCUCAACUUGGGAAUGGCGCUUGUGACUGCAAGGCUAGAGUAUGUCAGAGGGGGGUAGAAUUCCACGUGUAGCAGUGAAAUGCGUAGAGAUGUGGAGGAAUACCGAUGG
rnacentral:rRNA from 1 species